GUCCACGCCGUAAACGAUGUCAACUAGCCGUUGGUCUCAUUAAUAAGAUUAGUGGCGCAGCUAACGCAUUAAGUUGACCGCCUGGGGAGUACGGCCGCAAGGUUAAAACUCAAAUGAAUUGACGGGGGCCCGCACAAGCGGUGGAGCAUGUGGUUUAAUUCGAUGCAACGCGAAGAACCUUACCUACCCUUGACAUCCAGAGAAUCUGUGAGAGAUCGUAGAGUGCCUUCGGGAACUCUGAGACAGGUGCUGCAUGGCUGUCGU
rnacentral:rRNA from 1 species